rnacentral:rRNA from 1 species
UACGUAGGGUGCAAGCGUUGUCCGGAAUUAUUGGGCGUAAAGAGCUCGGAGGCGGCUUGUCGCGUCGGCUGUGAAAACCUGGGGCUCAACCCCGGGCCUGCAGCCGAUACGGGCAAGCUAGAAUUCGGUAGGGGAGACUGGAAUUCCUGGUGUAGCGGUGGAAUGCGCAGAUAUCAGGAGGAACAUCCGUGGCGAAGGCGGCUCUCUGGGACGGUACUGACGCUGAGACGCGAAAGCGUGGGGAGCGAACAGG